rnacentral:misc_RNA from 1 species
AAAGUCGUAACAAGGUUUCCGUAGGUGAACCUGCGGAAGGAUCAUUAAUAAUCGGCGAAGCUUUCGAGCCUAGCUUUAAAAUAUGAUAUACACCUGUGAACUAUUUGCCUUCGGGCACCAAACCAAACAUAAUGUCAAUGAAUGUAAACAUAUUAUAACAAAUAUAACUUUCAACAACGGAUCUCUUGGCUCUC